rnacentral:rRNA from 1 species
UACGUAGGGUGCGAGCGUUGUCCGGAAUUAUUGGGCGUAAAGGGCUCGUAGGCGGUUUGUCGCGUCGGGAGUGAAAACACCGGGCUUAACUCGGUGCUUGCUUUCGAUACGGGCAGACUAGAGGCAUGCAGGGGAGAACGGAAUUCCUGGUGUAGCGGUGAAAUGCGCAGAUAUCAGGAGGAACACCAGUGGCGAAGGCGGCUUCCUGGACCGGUUCUGACACUGAGGAGCGAAAGCGUGGGGGAGCGAUCCGG